ensembl:lncRNA HISLA HIF1A stabilizing long noncoding RNA
AUUGUGACCAAAAGUCCCCCUCCAGGGUGUUAAACUCCUGGAGGAUACUCAUAAGCCAGGACUUCCCAAGAGUGUCCCAUGGAACCUGAGUUCUAAGGACGGUACAUGAAAAAAAUCAACAUGGGUUCCAUGAUCAAAGAAGUUUGGGAAAUGGGCUAAAUGAAAGGACUUCCAAGGCCUUUUAUCUGCUAAUGAGAAAGAACAAGCCCUGUGAAAAACAAGCUGCUGUCCCUGCUAGAGGCAUCCUGCAAUCCAUGGAUGUUUAUCACCAAGCCAUUGUUAACAUGAGGUGGUUUCCAAAAGGAAAAGCUUUGGGAGAUAGAAGUCCUCGUUUUGACCUCUGCCCUCCUUGUACACCAGGAGCCAGAAAAACUUCAUCUCUUUUACAAGAAACAUUGAGAUUCCUGUAAAAUUAAGAAAUCACACAAUUUGAUGGUCUACAUUAUCUAAAGCAAAUGAGACUUCUAUUUGGAACAAAGACUACCUUGUUGGGAAAUGAGUCUGCAAGUUAAAGUGUUUUCUGGAUCCAGUAUCUGCCGGAGGAGCCCCACCUUCUGCUACUAUUAUGUUCUUCAGAUGAGUAGAAGAGAGUGGGGAGGGAGAGAGCAGGAAGAAGAAAGGAAGAAUAAUGUCUUGAAAUUGAUGAUGCAUAUCAUAAAUUAUUACUCACCCCAUGUUCCCACCCUCGAGAGACCUCCAAACAAUCACCAUGCCACAGUGAACAUUCAGUAACAAAAAUUCAGCCAGGGUUUUCACCAGCAUGAAUGGCAGUGAUUCCAAUCAGGAAAACAGAAAGAGGAGAGUUCAGAGCCACCUAGAAUGGCUCUUGCAAGAUACGAAAUCAAGGCAGCAGCAACAGGGCUGAACAUUCCUCAUCCCUAACUCUCCCUUCACCAGUAGGAAACCCAGGAUAACUGCAAUCACCGCAGGCCCAUCUGGCCUGAAGUUCUACUACUAGUAGCCCUCCAUGGGACCUUCUUAAGGAAGCAUGUCAACUCAGGUAAGGGAUGUAAGGGGAUGGAUGACCCUUUGAGGCCAAAGUUGGAGCAAAAAACACCAGAUGUUCCUGUGCACUGCUCCUAAGAGAUGGUUCUGAAGACCAGUUCGGGGAGAGGUCAAAAUACUGGACAGAAUCUCAGCAACAUGGAACCUCAAACUAAGUGACAGUCACAGACAACUCUUCCCCAAAGAAAAUAA